rnacentral:rRNA from 1 species
AGAGCCUGAAUCAGUAUGUGUGUUAGUGGAAGCGUCUGGAAAGGCGCGCGAUACAGGGUGACAGCCCCGUACACAAAAAUGCACAUGCUGUGAGCUCGAUGAGUAGGGCGGGACACGUGGUAUCCUGUCUGAAUAUGGGGGGACCAUCCUCCAAGGCUAAAUACUCCUGACUGACCGAUAGUGAACCAGUACCGUGAGGGAAAGGCGAAAAGAACCCCGGCGAGGGGAGUGAAAAAGAACCUGAAACCGUGUACGUACAAGCAGUGGGAGCACGCUUAGGCGUGUGACUGCGUACCUUUUGUAUAAUGGGUCAGCGACUUAUAUUCUGUAGCAAGGUUAACCGAAUAGGGGAGCCGAAGGGAAACCGAGUCUUAACUGGGCGUUAAGUUGCAGGGUAUAGACCCGAAACCCGGUGAUCUAGCCAUGGGCAGGUUGAAGGUUGGGUAACACUAACUGGAGGACCGAACCGACUAAUGUUGAAAAAUUAGCGGAUGACUUGUGGCUGGGGGUGAAAGGCCAAUCAAACCGGGAGAUAGCUGGUUCUCCCCGAAAGCUAUUUAGGUAGCGCCUCGUGAAUUCAUCUCCGGGGGUAGAGCACUGUUUCGGCAAGGGGGUCAUCCCGACUUACCAACCCGAUGCAAACUGCGAAUACCGGAGAAUGUUAUCACGGGAGACACACGGCGGGUGCUAACGUCCGUCGUGAAGAGGGAAACAACCCAGACCGCCAGCUAAGGUCCCAAAGUCAUGGUUAAGUGGGAAACGAUGUGGGAAGGCCCAGACAGCCAGGAUGUUGGCUUAGAAGCAGCCAUCAUUUAAAGAAAGCGUAAUAGCUCACUGGUCGAGUCGGCCUGCGCGGAAGAUGUAACGGGGCUAAACCAUGCACCGAAGCUGCGGCAGCGACGCUGAUGCGUUGUUGGGUAGGGGAGCGUUCUGUAAGCCUGCGAAGGUGUGCUGUGAGGCAUGCUGGAGGUAUCAGAAGUGCGAAUGCUGACAUAAGUAACGAUAAAGCGGGUGAAAAGCCCGCUCGCCGGAAGACCAAGGGUUCCUGUCCAACGUUAAUCGGGGCAGGGUGAGUCGACCCCUAAGGCGAGGCCGAAAGGCGUAGUCGAUGGGAAACAGGUUAAUAUUCCUGUACUUGGUGUUACUGCGAAGGGGGGACGGAGAAGGCUAUGUUGGCCGGGCGACGGUUGUCCCGGUUUAAGCGUGUAGGC